UAGGGAAUCUUCGGCAAUGGGGGGAACCCUGACCGAGCAACGCCGCGUGAGUGAAGAAGGUUCUCGGAUCGUAAAGCUCUGUUGUUAAGGAAGAACGAGUGUGAGAAUGGAAAGUUCAUACUGUGACGGUACUUAACCAGAAAGGGACGGCUAACUACGUGCCAGCAGCCGCGGUAAUACGUAGGUCCCGAGCGUUGUCCGGAUUUAUUGGGCGUAAAGCGAGCGCAGGCGGUUAGAUAAGUCUGAAGUUAAAGGCAGUGGCUCAACCAUUGUAGGCUUUGGAAACUGUUUAACUUGAGUGCAGAAGGGGAGAGUGGAAUUCCAUGUGUAGCGGUGAAAUGCGUAGAUAUAUGGAGGAACACCGGUGGCGAGAGCGGCUCUCUGGUCUGUAACUGACGCUGAGGCUCGAAAGCGUGGGGAGCGAACAGG
rnacentral:rRNA from 1 species